AGAUCACCGUUCAGGUCACUUCCUCGGAAAUGACUUUCCCAGACAUCGAUCUAAAGGAGGUCUUUGCAGAUCCGCUGGUUCCUGAGUGAUUAUACACAGUGCUGGCUGUCAGGAGACAGUCUCCUUGUUUAUUAACAAUGACCAGCUUAGAUGACAGAUGGCAUCUGCUGGAUGGCAAGUGGGAGAUGGGGAAAUCGGAUCUUGGAAGACAAGAAAAAAAUAAAAAGUUUUUGCUUUAACAACCA